CGGGCUGCAGCAAGUCGUGCGCAAUGGAGGGGGGGGUGGGAGGACUCGGCGAGCCCGGCCAGGCGCACAGCGAGCUGGAACAACGCGGGGAUUGAACAGUGAACAUGCACCAGGACUCCGGCUCCACGGCUCAUCCACACUAAGUGACUCCUCUGCAGCCCCGGACUCGCUUGUGAAACUCCCGAUGUUCGAGGAUGACGCGCACAGCCUCCACUCCUCCGCCUGCACACUUUGUUUGUAAAGACUCAAUGAACCUGCUGUCAACUCUGGUGUGAGACACUCAGGUCAUGACGAGUGAAUGGAGAGUUUGUAAAAAGAGCCACAUUAUCUCCAGAUUAUGCUCACGAGGAGUUGCUGGUCGGUGACAGGCAGCUUAAAGACGCCUUUCUUCCCCCGUUCAGUGCGUUGAGCCAUCGAUCAUCUGCCCCCGGUGCCAGCGACGGUGUCAUAACAUGAUAAUGCGGCUUCACAAGUUCAGCGGCGAUUCCUGUGGCACAAAAAACCCGGAGCGGUGGGAUCCGAUGGGACGUUUUUACAGGCAUGAAAUGACGAUAUCAAAGCCUCCCGCAGUCCGGGGGCGCGGGCAGCAGAGACGCCAGCAAGCCGCGCAGGACGCACGGACUUUUACGCACAGAGACACCGGAGCAAAUAUUCUGCUGUGAGAAUGUGCUCGUGGAGUUUGUUAAUUCUGUGACUUUUUGGUCUCUCGCCCUCCCCUUCCAGCAACAUUUGGCACCACUGGUAUUAUUUCAGGUGUGCUAAUGGUGUCACAGACACUUUUGCCAUGAGAGGAGGAGACGGGACGAACUGAAAAGAGGAGGACAGAAGGAGAAGAUGAAGAACAAAAGGAGAGGAUUAUUGCCAUCAUCAUCAUCAUCAUCAUCAUCAUCAUCAUCAUCAUGAACUCCUCUCCCCCCCAAAAAAUCAGGCUUUGGGCAAGGGAAGGAAGUCACAUGUCGGCCAGUUGCACCAUUCAGGGUGGAGGGGUGAGGGUGGCAGUGGGUGAAUGGUAGAAGAUGGGGGGGGGUUGUCACACCUCCCACUGAGGCUGUGAAUUGAUCAGCACCUUAGAGAGAGAGAGAGAGAGAGUGAAAUAGAGGGAAGGAGGGACAGAGGAGAGUGAGAAAAAAGGAAAGAUGAGGGAUGAUGAUGAGGGCUGGAAAAAGCUGGGUGUUGGAGCCGGGCUAUAAAACCAGGAGGGAGGGGAAGAAAAAGAAAAACAGAGCGAUAGGAAGCGAGGAGUGAGGGAAGGCUGCAGAAGAGGUGUGAAGACUCAUCUUUUCCUGGAUGGGUGUGAGUUUAGGCUGGAGCGGAGAGUGGCCUGGGAGCACAGCAAAGCCUGGUGGUAAUAAACCAGCCAGAAACAGCAGCUAUAAGGGAAACACACGAAGGGCUGUGAUUCCAAAUGAAAGACGCAGUCCUAUAAUAUUUCAAAAAACGACAAGAGAUUAUUAAUAUCUGAGGGUAGGUUCUUAAAACACAAUGUGAAAAUACACCAGUUGUUAAGUUGGGUCUAUUUUCAGUCACUGGACAGACUUGGAUUUUGACAACAAAGGGUUUGAAG